rnacentral:lncRNA from 1 species
GAGCGGGGAGCGAGGCCUGCGGUGAGGCGCAGGAUGGACGCGUUGGCUGUCAUGAUGUAGGACCUCCUGACCUAGAACCAUGCCCGGCGCAGGGAGAACAACGAGCUUAUGGACCGGGUGCGGGGGCUGCUGUGCGAGAAAGCCUACCUGCUGGCCCGGGAGCGUUCGCUGGCCCACCUGGUGGCUUUCCCUAGACGUUUAACGGCGACUCCGCCCGGCCUCCCGACUUUUUGAUGCAGGCGUUCUCUUACAUGACUUUCUUCGAGGCUAGAUUCUCGAAAGACAUCCUGAAGGUGGCUUUCUUAAUUAGCUGCCUCACCGAGUGGCGGAGCAGUUCGUAGUCCCCUACAUCGAGAGGGAGAGCCCCGUCCUGGCUCAGUACUAGGGCUUCGUGGACGCGCUGUAGCGGGCCUUGGCCGUUGUGGGUAGGAAACAGUCGGGCCGGAUCCCCGGUGUCUGGGGAGCGGCUGCGGCCCGGGCCCGCGCGAGCCACUUCGCUCCUACAAGCCCGGCUCACUAGUUCCAAGCUGCUGGACUUUGACCCUCGCUGGGAAGCUUGAUCGCCGCCUGUUCUCGCCAAUCUCUGCCUUUGCACUGCCCAGCAACCCGGUCACUGCCCAGGACCUGUUAAAAGUGGAAUGGACCUCCCAGAAUCACGCCGCUGCCACCGCCGUUUCUAGAGACGGCUUUUGGCCACCUUUGAGAAUCAGGGUCAAACUUGGAAGGGCCUGCAUUUGUCACACCUCCUCGGACACUAAUUUGGAUAGUUCAGGCCCAGAGACAGCUUCCCGGGUUAGUGUGCCUGACAACACUGAAGAAAAAUUGUGACAUUUUCCUUCCCCAAAAUUACUUCGUUUUAUACAUUUCACUUCUCUUCUGAAAUUACAGCAAUGUCAGUUUGCGCCUUUUGGUCUGAGGAACGCAGGCCCUGGCCACUACCAGGAAAAAAUCCUUUGCACAUGGCCUGCUAUCAACAAUCUUCUACAAUGAUUCUCAGCAUCACCUGGGGAGCUUAUGCAAAAUCUCAAAUUCCUGGGCCCUAUCCCCAGAGUUUCUUAUCGAUUUCCUUGAUGGAGAACUAUCAAAGCAGUCAAAGCUAUCAAAAUAAAAAAGAAUUCUGAUUGGGUGCAGUGGCUCACACCUGUCAUUCCAGCACUUUGACAGGCCAAGGUGGGCAGAUCACAUGAGGCCAGGAGUUCAAGACCAGCCUGGCCAACAUGGCAGAAACCCCAUCUCUACUAAAAAUACCAAAAUUAGCCGGGCAUGGUGGAACACACCUGCAAUCCCAGCUACUCGGGAGGCUGAAGCAAGAGAAUCGCUUGAACCUGGGAGGCAGAAGUUGCAGUGAAACAAGGUGGUGCCAAUGCAUUCCAGCCUGGAUGACAGAGCGAGACUCUGUCUCAAGAAAAAAACAAAAACACAAACAGAACUCUGCCUCAUAGCAUCUUUUAAGUUAUACACUGGACCUAUCCUUUCCUCACUGACAGACAUUUUAAAAAUUUUUUGGUAAGGCCUAGUUCAUAUAAAAUGUAAUCCAAGCCAAAAGUGAACAAGAAUAAGGGGAGGAAAGGGGACUCCAAUAGCAGAGAAAGGUAUUUACCUGGGAUAUACACUGCAAGAAAAUCAAAGCUAUAAGAAAUGUCCAUGAAUAGUAGCCAUAAGGCAUCAGAGUGAUAAAAUUCCUGUCCCUAGGAGGGAAUAUUGGAGUUUGCCAGAGAAACAGAAUGAGAGAGACAGAGAGGUUUAUUGUAGGAAUUGGCUCAUAUGAUUACGGAGGCUGAGAAGACCCACGAUCUGCCAUCUGCAAGCUGGAGAAUCAGGAAAGCUGGAGGUGUAAUUCAGUCAAGUCCAAUGGCCAGAGAAGCAAGUGUACUGAUAUCCAAGAGCAGGAGAAAGUAGAUGUCCCAGAACAAGCAGAGAGGCUGAUUUUGUCCUUCCUCUGCCUUUUUGUUUCAUAUGGGGCACUGAAUGGACUGAUGCCCAUCCACAUUAGUGAGGGUGGAUCUUCUUUACUCAGUCUACCAAUAGAAAUGUCAAUGACUUCCAGAAACACCCUCACCAACACACGUGGAAAUAAUGUUUUACCAGGUAUCUGGGCAUCCCUUGGUUCACUCAAAUUGACACAAAAUUAACCAUCACAGAAGGAGACUGGCCUUACUCUGAAAUUAGGAAACUAAAGAAGUGACCAGAAUGGAGACUAGGUAGAGACAACUAGUUCUCUACCAUAUGUACAGUCAUUCCUUGGUAUCUGAGGGGGAUUGGUUCCAGGAACUCUCAGGGAUACCAAAAUCUGCAGGUGCUCAAGUCAUUUAUGUAAAAUGUUACAGUAUUUGCAUAUAACCUUUGCACAUCUUCCAUAUACUUUAAAUCAUCUUUACAUUACUUAUAAUAAUGAAUGUAGUGUAAAUGCUAUGAAAAUAGAUAUUACACUCUAUUGUUUAUUUGUAUUUUUAUUGAAUUGUUUUGGGGUGGGGGGCAGCUGUAUUCUCCUUUCUUAGUAAUAGAACCCCUGGUUUUAGUUGGGCACAUGACUGCCCUCAAUAAAGAUUAAAGUACCCCAGCCUUCCUUGAGAUUGUGGCCAUGUGACUGAACUUUAGACAGUGAGAUAUAAGCAGAUAUCUUCUGUGGCAGUGUUAGGAAACUAUUAAAGACAGUAAGAACAUUGCCCUUUGCCUUCUUUUUCCUUUCUUCAUUUUUUUGCCUGGAAUGCAAAUGUGAUGGCUAACACCCUAGCAGCCAUUUUAGAUUAUGAAGAUGAGAGCCACUCCCCAGGAAGGGUGGACCUGAAAGCUGGAUUCUAGAUGUGGAAUGACAAUACCAGCCCUGGACUACCUACCUGUAGGCUGUGUGUGUGUGUGUGUGAUUGACAGAGAGAGAGAUAGAGAUACCAGAAGUAACACAAAGCAUGGUACCUGGGACUGGGAAGGUAAAUGUUUAAACAUUUUAAAUGUGGCAUUGGUUUGUUGAAGACAGUCAAGCAGUAGGUGCUGCAGGCUUUGUUGAGGCUAGAAAGCUGUUGGUCUUUAUUAGGUGAUGGCAAAACAAUGGAUCACAUUUUCAUGUGCUGUGUCUUGGGAGGCAAAUGAUGAGAAUGUAGGAUUGGGGAAAAUGGUAAGGAAAAUCCAAAAUAUUCAUGUUUUCUAACCCCUUCUUGCCAAUCUUAAAAGAAGGACAAACUGAGGCUAGAUUAAGCAAGUCUACAGUUACAGUUGGAAGGAAACACAGCCGUGCUAAGGAAGUACUCUGUCUGUGGCCUGCAGUCUAGUUUGAGUAGGUCCUGUAUUUGAGCUUUGAAAGAGUAAAGAAUACAAGUGCUCAUAUACCCCUGAAGUAGUUACCAGCAGUGACUGCAAGGAGGUAAUCUUAUGGGAUGAAACUAUAACUGUGUAUUAACCAUCAUAUAUAGCAUAUAUGUGUAUAUGUAUGUGUGUGUAUAUAUGUGUAUAUAAAUAUAUGUGUGUAUAUACACACAUGUACACACACCCUACAACCCAGUGAUUUCAAAAAAUUAAACAUUUGUUUAGCUCAUGAAUCUGUGGGUUAGGUGACCAUUUCUAUUGGUCUUGGCUGGGCUCACCUGUACCCAGUCAGCUGCAGGGUCUAGCUCUUCUUAUCUUGGCUGGGAUCUCGCACAUGUCUAGGAUCAGCUGCUUUACUAGUCUAGGAUUGUCUUGGCUGAGACAGCUGGACUACUCAGUUCUCCUCCACUGCCUUAUCCUUCAGCUGGCCAGCCCAGAAAUGUUGCCAUGUUUACAGCAUAAGAGCAAGCAAGAAAGAAUAAUAUGCAACCACUUUUCCAAGCCUAAGGUGAAAGGGUGGGCAGAACCUGUGGUGUUAGGAGGCAACUCAUACCAGCCCAUGGGUCUACCGUUUAAUUUUCAGAAAUUUGGCAAGCUGAUUGUUAACACAGCCGUUGUUUAAUUUAUGUACUUGUAAUUAAAUAAUUUACAUUAAAACAAAGAUAAUAGGUACUCAAAA